UAGUACCGGUUCGUGGCUAACC
rnacentral:miRNA from 1 species